UACGUAGGGGGCGAGCGUUGUCCGGAUUUAUUGGGCGUAAAGAGCUCGUAGGCGGCUUGGCAAGUCGGGUGUGAAAUCUCCAGGCUCAACCUGGAGUCGCCAUUCGAUACUGCCAUAGCUAGAGUCCGGUAGGGGAGCGCGGAAUUCCUGGUGUAGCGGUGAAAUGCGCAGAUAUCAGGAGGAACACCAGCGGCGAAGGCGGCGCUCUGGGCCGGAACUGACGCUGAGGAGCGAAAGCGUGGGGAGCGAACAGG
rnacentral:rRNA from 1 species